rnacentral:rRNA from 1 species
UACGGAGGGAGCUAGCGUUGUUCGGAAUUACUGGGCGUAAAGCGCACGUAGGCGGCUUUGUAAGUUAGAGGUGAAAGCCCGGGGCUCAACCCCGGAAUUGCCUUUAAGACUGCAUCGCUUGAAUCCGGGAGAGGUGAGUGGAAUUCCCGGUGUAAGCGGUGAAAUGCGCAGAUAUCGGGAGGAACACCAAUGGCGAAGGCAGCUCGCUGGGACGGUACUGACGCUGAGACGCGAAAGCGUGGGGAGCAAACAGG